rnacentral:rRNA from 1 species
AUGCAUGUGUGAGUUCAACUGAACAAAGUGAAACCGCGGAUGGCUCAGUAAAUCAGUCUGAAUCCAUCGAGUGAUGAUUCCAAUAAGGAUAUCUCAAGUAACCCUUGAGCUAAUACUUGGUACCAUCCUCUUUGUAGGAUGUCUAACUCUAGUCAGUUACCUGCUCCUGGUAAAACGGGGGUGACGCAGGAACGCAACAGGAGAGCUUUCGAUCCCGCUUCGAAUACGACGGGACGCAAUCACGGAAUGUCUGACCUAUCAAUUAGGGACGGUAGUGUAUUGGACUACCAUGGUUCUGACGGGUGACGGGGAAUCAGGGUUCUAUUCCGGAGAGGCAGCCUAAGAAACGGCUACUACACCCAAGGGAGGCAGCAGGCGCGCAAAUUACCCAAUACUAGAUUAGUGAGGUAGUGACGAGAAAUAACAAUACAUCACUUUUGUGUUGUAAUUGGAAUGACAGUGAAUUAAAGUCUCUAUGAAGGAGCAAGUGGAGGGCAAGUCUGGUGCCAGCAGCCGCGGUAAUACCAGCUUCCACAAGCAUAUGCAUAAGUUGCUGCGUUUAGAAAGCUCGUAGUUGGUGCUGUUACGGUCGCUACAACUGUUAGCCUAACUGGCUUCGCGUAGUUGCUGUAUCUGUGUGCCUUCCGUGUGUUGCACUUAAUUGUGUGAUGCAUAGAAGACAGUUUUACCUAGAAUAAAUCAGGGUGUUCAAAGCAGCCUUUGGGUAUGAAUAUUGGAGCAUGGAAUAAUAGAACAGGACCGUCGACUGUUUUAUGGGUGUUUUGGUAUGACGAUAAUGGUCAACAAAAACAAUUGGGGGUGUUUGUAUUGCUGCGUCAGAGGUG